rnacentral:tRNA from 1 species
GGCACGUUGGCCGAGGAGUUAGGCAGAGGUCUGCAAAACCUCGUACACCGGUGCGACUCCGGUACGUGCCUCCA